CAAAUUCUAUGGGGUGGAGUGUGGGGGUUAUGGGGGGUGGGGAGGAGUCCCAUGUGAAACGCCACAUAAACUACUUGGUUUCCCUGUUUGUUCCGGAUCUAGGUUGAUAUAUAUAGCUCCUUGUGGGAGUGAUAAGUGCAUGAGUAAUAUGUUGUGGCUGAUGCAUUAUUUAUGUUAUCAUGUUAUCUUCCUUAUGUGAUCUAGUAUUUGAUCAACUUCUCGUUUAUUAUUCCUGUGUUAUAGUUCAUGUGUUGUUUGUAAAUAUUUUCCCUUUAAUAAAAGUCAAGUAUCAAAAGAAGUGAUAAUUUUUCCUUAUGUAAGUUUAAAAAGAAUAUUUCUUUUCCAAGAACAUGAGUAUCAAGACAAAUAUAUUACUUUUCUUCUUCAACUCGCAUGUAACGAUAAAAUUGAAGAAACCAUCUGUUUUCACUUGCAUUCUCCAAAUAGAUGUUUAUGCUUCUCUCAAUCUUAUAGAAAUAAGACCAAAUGCAGUUGUGCUACUGCAUCAACAAUCGUUCUGUCUAUUUUCUUAAACAUCAAACACAUCAUUUUUGGGUAAAGUAUUACCCAAAACUCACGGUUUGAUAGAAGAGAUACUAUUGAGGAUCAAACAGAAUGCUUAUCCAAUAAUUGGGUGAUUCAUGAUGAAAACAAAAUGGCAAGCCUUUUUUGCUUAGUGGAUUUGAGAUACAUUAAUAUAUAUGUUAACAAAAUUUCUUAAUAUAACAAGCUUUAAGCUUAAGCUACUGAAUUUUGUUGAACCCGUAUCUUCAAAUAAUGUUACUUCACCCCAGGUCUUCAAGCUUGAGAUACUGAUAUGACCAAGGAGAGAAUUAGAAUACAGCUACUCACAACAUCAAACAAAAUACGAGUUAUACUACUACAUCAAUAAUCAUAUUUCAUUUCACUUUGUAAUGUUGCCAUAUCUUUGACAAUAUAUUAUUGAAAAAUCUCUUCAUAUUUUUUGUAAAAAUCUCAUGAUAUUUUGUUGGAAAUCUCUACCAAGAGAUUUUAUUUGGGGCCAAAGUUUGAUUGACAUCAUCCAUGACAUCAAAUACUUGGACAACAAGAACUUUUUUGCUAUAAAUAGAUGUGUUUCUUUCACCAUAGACACACCAAUUUGAUAGGAUCUUAGUUGUUGCUUUUUUUUUUUUUAGAGAAUAUUUGUGAGAGAGUUGUGUUGGAAAAAACUUGGGUGAAACAUUUUUAAGAGUGAUCUCGUGAUGCUAUUCACUUGGGAUAUUUGAGAUAUGAGAGUAUUUAAUUAUUCUAAUUUUGUAUUCUCUUUUAUUCCCUUGUACUCUUUCUUAUUCCAUUAUAUUUAGUAAAAUUGCUCCUCCUUUUGGUAGUGGACGUAGGUCAAGUUAACCGAACUACGUUAAAUUUGUGCCUCCUUUGUUUCCUCAACUUAUAGUUAUUAUUGUCUUUGUUAUUGUCUUUAAUUGAUUACUUUGUUUAAUUCUGCACUAUACGGGAUUCCAUAUCCUAGCACACUUCAACAUCAAAAACAUUAUUUUACGGUAGGGUCGAUUGGACAUUAAACUUGACAUGGCAAAAACUUACGACAUGCAACUGGAAUUUCUUAAUAGCUGUUAAUUGCUGGCUAUGAGAAGGUUUGGUUUUGAAGAAAAAUGGAUAAAGAUCUUAUUCGGAGAUCUAUCACAAAUGUUUGGUUCUCAGUGUCAUAAAUGGUGUCAUGAGAAGUUUUUUUUUUUCAUUUUCUAACCGUCAGGAGAAGAUUUUUUUUCAUUUUGUACUAGAGGAGUUUGCCAUAGCACUUUCCUUUAACUUUUGGUGAAACCUUCUUAUCAAACAAGACUCCUCAUGCAGUCUCCCAUCUCCUUAUAUAAAGAUCCAAGUUACAUGAAACUUUCUUUGGGACUCUCUGUGUAUGAAGUCUUACUUGCACAAUAGCCGCAUGUACACGUGGCUUAACUUGUAUUCCAAGUAUUUUUUCUUAAUUCUUCUCAACUUGAAUCCUUAACACUCCAAGGUCUGUCAUCCACAAAUCUUAUCAACGAAAACUAUGUCAUCCACAAAUAACAUACACUAUAAUACAUCACCAUGAAUUUCCAUAGACCAUCAGAUGAAGCUUAUCUGCUCUUUUCCAUCUUAAGAACAUUGGUUUAGGAUGAUUAGGAAACAUGAACAUGAUUGACUUAAUUAUCUCCAACUGAGGCUUCCUAGAUUCUGCUCUAUAUUUUCUUAUAUCUACCUACUGAUUACCUCAUUUACGAGAGAGGACUAUUUAAGAUUUUCUAAAUUAGAGUUCAAUAAAAAUUAUUUAAGGUAUCUUGUCAAGGUAUGAAAAGAUAUAACAUUAGUUGAAAAAAUGUAGCAUCAAACUGGAAAAUAUAGAACAUUUGUUGAACAUUAAAACUAAUUAUAACACCCCAUAUUUUCGGGCUAAAAUUCUAACCAUCAUUCCUUCGUGUGUAAACCUGAUCCCCAUAUUUUUUAAGUAAAUAUAAAUGUAAUGAUAAUUUACCUAGUGUUUAAUAUGCUUUCGUGGCGAUGAAUGUUCAUUGGAAACAGUUAGAGCAAAGUUGAGUUAAGAACUUUUGUUAUCGACUGAAUUUUUGUAUUCAAUCCUACAAGGAUAAAUUUGAACGUCCGUAACUUCUAAAAUAUAUGGAAUUUCGGAGGUCAUGACCCACUAAAUGAAUGAUAAUUGAGUAUCUUUCCAAUGCCACCGAUUCUGCCUUAAUCUGAUACUCGAGCAAUAAGUUUUGAGCAUUUUCACUAGCAAACCAGUGAGUGUCCUUGUUUAGGGUGUGGAACGCCCUGUGUGCUCCAUGAUAAGAGUGUGGAAUGCUCUAUAUACUUCGUGUUAAGGGCGUGGCACACUCAUAUGCCCAGAGACUCUAAAAUAUUUCUCUUUCAUUUUUCGAUGACAAACUAGUUAUUUACGUCCAAAAUCAUCCUACAACUAAUAGUAAUGCAUUUUCCCUCAUCCUGUAACCCAAAUACAUGAUUUCUCUUCUCCCAAACCAUCUAGAACAUCAUAUAGGGUUUAUUCUCCCACAUUCAAGCUUCCAAGGAUCCAAAUUCAAGCUCUUCUCAAAUUUCAUCUGUCAAAAAGCACAUUGGACACUCU
rnacentral:lncRNA from 1 species